rnacentral:rRNA from 1 species
AGGAUGAACGCUGGCGGCGUGCCUAAUACAUGCAAGUCGAGCGGAAAGGCCUCUUCGGAGGUACUCGAGCGGCGGACGGCUGAGUAACGCGUAGGAACGUACCCCAAACUGAGGGAUAAGCACCAGAAAUGGUGUCUAAUACCGCAUGUGCUCUAAGGAGUAAAGCUUCGGCGGUUUGGGAACGGCCUGCGUAUGAUUAGCUUGUUGGUGAGGUAAUAGCUCACCAAGGCGACGAUCAUUAGCUGGUCUGAGAGGAUGAUCAGCCAGACUGGGACUGAGAACGGCCCAGACUCCUACGGGAGGCAGCAGUAGGGAAUUUUCCACAAUGGGCGAAAGCCUGAUGGAGCAACGCCGCGUGCAGGAUGAAUGCCUUCGGGUUGUAAACUGCUUUUAUAUGUGACGAUUAUGACGGUAGCAUAUGAAUAAGGAUCGGCUAACUCCGUGCCAGCAGCCGCGGU